ensembl:lincRNA Gm43893 predicted gene, 43893
CCUCUCUCUAUCUCAAAAUAUUUCUGAGAGGUCACCUCUGAAUUCUGUCACAUCAGCAAGUCCUGAACUUUGAAAGGAAUGCAUUCAAACCACACACAGCCUUAACUGUCCUUGGAACUUUGUAAAAUUCUGCUUAGUAAUGGACUGUCACUGUGGCUUUAGUUGCACACAUUCUAAAAUUCAUGAAGAUUAUCCUCAAUGGCUGCUAAUCCUUUAGAACCUUCAAAGCUGAUGGGGCACCAGAGCUCCCACUUGCGAGAGCUUUGCACUAUGUUUGAUGCAAGAAAUGCUGGACAAUGGUUUAUAGAAAACAUUUAAGACUGGUGCUGCUGGAGAAGAGUACCAUCUGUCUGGAAACCUAGGACCUAUUCUUUUGAACAUGGCUUCUUCAUUUGAUCAUCAACUAACUAAUUUAUGCUUGUGUGUAUUUCGGGGUCG